UGGGGAAUAUUGCACAAUGGGCGAAAGCCUGAUGCAGCAACGCCGCGUGAGUGAUGAAGGCCUUCGGGUUGUAAAGCUCUGUCUUUGGGGACGAUAAUGACGGUACCCAAGGAGGAAGCCACGGCUAACUACGUGCCAGCAGCCGCGGUAAUACGUAGGUGGCAAGCGUUGUCCGGAUUUACUGGGCGUAAAGGAUGCGUAGGCGGAUAUUUAAGUGAGAUGUGAAAUUCCCGGGCUUAACUUGGGAGCUGCAUUUCAAACUGGAUAUCUAGAGUGUGGGAGAGGAGAAUGGAAUUCCUAGUGUAGCGGUGAAAUGCGUAGAGAUUAGGAAGAACACCAGUGGCGAAGGCGAUUCUCUGGACCAUAACUGACGCUGAGGCAUGAAAGCGUGGGUAGCAAACAGG
rnacentral:rRNA from 1 species